rnacentral:misc_RNA from 1 species
AAGUCGUAACAAGGUUUCCGUAGGUGAACCUGCGGAAGGAUCAUUACAAAUCCAUCCACGUCUCUUUGAGACCACGUUGAAAUGUUCCCCAGACCGGGCGGGUCUCUCCCUGGGAGAGGUCCCCGAUCCCGGCCUGGGCUGUGAAACGAGUGUUACCUUGUUGCCCAAAUGUAUCUUGAUUUCAAUCAAACGAAAACUUGUACAACUUAUAACAAUGGAUCUCUAGGCUCUU